UAUUGGAUGCAUAUAAGAAAGUAAAAUGAAAGUCGAAAGCGUUGAAGCAAAGCAAAAGCAAAACGAAAACGGCCUAGAAUUUCCAAAUGACAGCAUCUUUAUUUUAUUUUAUUUUAGCCGUGGAAACUGAACUCGUAUGUAACUCACAGAAACCGAUGAAGAAAAACUGAGAACUUCGUGUCAGUACUAUCAUGUCCGUUCCUUCACCUUCAAAAACUCCAUAAGAAGCUUAUUUUCAGCUUACUUCUCGUCAGUUAUAAGUAACCAUGGGCUUACCCUUGACGGCACUAGCCAAGUUCCACCUCCUAUCACUCUCAUCCUCUCACACUGUUGUCUCCCCAUUGCUUACAAGCCUGCUUUGCCCUUUCGUAGUAAAACUCGCCUGCAGUCUCGGGCUGGUUCGCCGAGCUCAUUCUGAUGUGAUCUACGCAUCCAGACUUUUCCUCUUUCAAUUGGGUCGAAUCACCUUUGACAAUAGAAACCAAGAACAGUCUCUUGGCAAUAGAUGGGGGAGAGCUCUGCGGUUGGUUUGCCAAAGGGUAACUAGGUCAAGAAGGUCUCCUGCAGCUACCCAAUCCGAUGAAGAUAGCCUCCAUGCCCUCUCCAUGUUUUUCCUUUAAAGCCAAACGUGUUUUAUGUCAUUAAAGUGAAUUAUGAUUGUUGUUUGGAUUUCCAGAAAAGCGUCCAUAUGGCUCUGUCUGUCUGGGAAAAAAAAUCAGAAGAAGUGACUGUUCAAGCUUUAUGUAUAUCUCUGAAAUUGUCUCUCUACAUGGAAAAGCGAGAAGUGUGAUUUUUUUUUUCUUUUCUUUCUUUUCUUUAGAUGAGAAAGGGCAAAUUAUUAGGUGUACAACUUUAAACAGUGAGUUUCAUAUUUUUAUUUUUAAUUAAUUUUAUAUAAAUAUGUGGUAUAUAUUUUUUAGUGCACUACUGAAGAAGCCGACAUCACCCGCAAAUUAAAGGAUGCAGUCGUCCAUACAUAUGUAUCUGUGCCUUUUCACUAUCAUGCUCAUUUAUUUUCUGUUUCGCGUGUUAACGUUGCAUCAAUUUCUGGUUCAAAAACACUAACUGCUAUAAUUAAUCGUCGGCAUAUCAUUUUGGUUA